UUCGCGCUAACUAACGUGCCCGGGUCUAAAACGUGAGGGCCGCAGGGGCCACAACCAGGGUACGCAAAGGUUUGCCAGGCUUGGGAAUGGUCAGAUUUUGAAGCAGUAUUGGCCGUAUUGGCAGUGUUCUACGGCUAUGAUCAAAGGACAUAUUUCGGCGGUCGGCGGCUCGGCCGCCUAGUGUCUCUACAUUUGGCUACGGGGACGGCUUCUCACGCGCUGUGACAUCAACAGCCGCUGUUCGUCGAAUGUUUUUAGAGGGCCAGCUCGCUGGGUUGCUUUGUGAACUGCGCAAGUGAUUAAUUUUCGUUAUCGUAAAGACGUGCAGUGCGAAGAAUGGCGAAGUCUUGCGUUCAGAGCACCGUCCUCAGCCUGGAUACAACACAAGACGUGAAAAACGGCGAUUUUAGUGAUGAGCCGAUUACAGAAACCACUCGAAAAGAAGUUAAGGAGGGAGGUAGCAAGCACAAAAAACGGAAGCACAAGCACAAGCAUAAGCACCAUCACAGUUCCAAGGACAAGAAGCGCAAGUCGAGUGGUGAUAAAGGAGCCCCACCUUUAGACACGGCAACCGGUCAAGACACCCUUCAAGUUAGCAACAUGAACCUUGAAGAGUUGGAAGAGCAGAAGGCAAUUUUACAGGCGAAGCUUUAUACGCUUGUCCCAAGUGACUAUGGAAGCUCAGAUGAAGAUGUUCACAAAGGCAAAAAGACCAAGUUGUCUAGUAGAAGCCAGGACAGUAGCAGCAAGAAACAUUCACGAACAUCUUCUCUAGACCACAAAGCUGAUCGAGAGGGAAAAAAUCGAGAACAUUCUCAUUCUCGCAGUGAUCACCAUAAAGAAAGGGAUGGCUCUCCUCGCUCAAGCAGGAAGGCGCACACUGAAAAGGCUCAGCAGGAUGCUUCCAGUCCAAACCAAAAACGGUCCAUGCAGAGGAAGGAAAGUCCUUCUUCACGACACCGGAAGAGCCCAAAGAAAAGCCCCUCAAGGCGAAGCUCUCCGUCCCGCAAGUCACCAUCACGGAAAUUGUCACCGAGUCGAAGAACCUCACCCAGUCGCAGGGUUUCUCCUGGUCGUAAGGGGAUGUCUCCAGUCCGCAGGUGCUCUCCGAUGCGAAAGGGAUCCCCUUCACGAAGGGCUUCAUCUCCAAGGAGAGUGUCUCCUUCACACAGGGUGUCGCCUCGAAAGAUGUCCCCUUCACGUAAACUUUCACCUACUCGAAGAGCUUCACCAUCUCGGAGAAUGUCGCCAGAUCGCAGGGCAUCGCCAUUUCGAAGAUCACUUUCACGAAAAAGAUCCCCAUCACGAAAAAUUUCACCUAUUCGGAAAAGCUCACCUUGCAGGAAAACAUCACCAUUGAGGAAAUUGUCACCGCCACGCUAUCGAGGACCAGAGCUUGAUCGACGGCGCUCAUUAUCACCGAGGCGUGCGGGUGAUCGACAUGCUCCCAGAAGUCCUUCACCUAGACGUGCAGCUCCUCGGCGGCUAUCACCGCCCAGGAACAGUGGCCGGGAAGCUAGCAGGGAAGCAAACCGAGAUGUCCGGCGGGACAGCCGGGAAGCUGUGCGGGAACGAAGCCCGCGACGACCGAGACCCCGUAGCCCACUGCGGCGCAGAACUGGACACUCGCGUAGCCCCCGCAGAGGAGAUCCUCGGACAUUGACUCGACGAAGUCGCUCUCCUCAUGGCAUGAGCAGAAAUGAUGAACGAUCUAGACACAAUCGGGAUCACUGGGAUCGUAGAGAUGACAAAGGCCGGCAUGCAAACAGCUCAAGAAAGAAGCCAAAAUCACCUUCCUCUUCAUCUGAUGAGAUUGAGGACAUCGAAAUCGAGGAGGAUGAAGAUGAGGAGAAGGUGAUUGAACGGCAACGUCAGCAACGACAGGAACUGCUUAAGAGGUUGGGUGUUGAGAACCAAGUUGAAAGCAGUGGAUUUUCAUCUCCAGUGCAUUCACGUGGUAGUGGGACCCACACUCCGGAUUCUGUGACUAUUGAUAACAUGGCCUCGGACAUUAAUGAAAACAGUGAAGACACAACUGAUUUUGAGGCUGCCAUAAUGGCCAAGCGGCAAAUGAUGGUUCAAGAAGGCAACAAUGAAUCGGACACAGGUCAAGAAAAAAAGAAGCAGUUGGAUAUGUUCUCGGAGGACAUGUUUGCUGAGAAUUAUUCUAGUCCCAACUCAUUUCAGAAGAUAUCAUCACGAGCUCAAGAAAAUCCCAACCUUACCGACAACUGGGAUGAUGCAGAGGGCUAUUAUCGUGUCCGGAUAGGUGAAGUACUGGACACGCGAUACACUGUUUAUGGCUACACGGGUCAAGGAGUCUUCAGCAAUGUGGUGCGAGCAAGGGACAUGGCACGAGGAAAUCAGGAUGUUGCUGUGAAGAUUAUACGGAACAAUGAAGUCAUGCACCGUACAGGGCUGAAGGAACUCGAAAUGCUGAGACGUCUCAAUGAUGCUGACCCUGAUGACAAGUUCCAUUGUCUUCGGCUGUUCAGGCAUUUCUUUCACAAACAACAUCUGUGCCUUGUUUUUGAGCCACUAAGCAUGAACCUUAGAGAGGUGCUGAAGAAGUAUGGCAAAGAUGUUGGUUUGCAUAUAAAGGCUGUGCGGUCCUAUAGUCAGCAGCUGUUUUUUGCCCUCAAACUUCUGAAAAGAUGCAACAUCCUGCAUGCUGACAUCAAGCCGGACAAUAUUUUGGUAAAUGAGACAAAGCUGGUCUUAAAGCUAUGCGAUUUUGGCUCGGCUUCUCACGUGGCCGAAAAUGACAUCACACCUUAUCUUGUCAGCAGGUUUUAUCGGGCACCAGAAAUAGUUCUUGGCCUGGGCUAUGACUUUGGUAUUGACAUGUGGAGUGUUGGAUGCACAUUGUACGAGCUUUACACGGGAAAGAUAAUGUUUCCUGGAAAAUCCAACAACCAGAUGCUCAAAUUCUGUAUGGAUCUCAAAGGAAAGUUUCCUAAUCGUCUUAUUCGAAAAGGAAUCUUCAGAGACCAGCAUUUUGAUGCAAACUGCAACUUUCUCUACCAUGAAGUUGACAAAGUCACAGAGAGGGAGAAAGUGGUGGUCAUGACAAACAUCAAUCAGACACGUGACUUAUCCAGUGAGUUAAUUGGACGGCAGCGGCUGCCAGAGGAUCAAGUCAAGAAAGUAGGCCAGCUGAAGGAUCUUCUGGAGAAGACUUUGAUGCUGGACCCUGUGAAACGGAUAUCGAUCAAUCAUGCCCUCGCCCACCCAUUCAUACAUGACAAGAUUUGAGUGGCAUUGGAUCUUUCCGAAGUUUGUUGGUCAGAGGACUGAAGGAAUUUUCAAGCAUGUUAUGUGGAAACAAGUGUGUGUGGCAGCUCCCGUUGCUUGCCAAUAUGUUGAGAACUGAUAGACGCUUUGGACUGCCUUCUGACAGGUGAAGUCCAAGGUGCAAGGACAGGAUUCUCCUGGCAUGAUUGGUUACCCAUUGUACUAACUGUGUUGACUCUAACUACCAUGAGUCCAAAGGCCAGGUUGAGUCUGGGGCAUUGGCGAAGGAAUUUCCGAAGGCCUCUCAUCGUUUCAGCGCGCUGGAAACUACACAGCAGAGAAGCCAAGAGGGCAAAGCUCCAGCCAAAUGUUCAGUGUCAUGGUGGUGAAAAGGCCCGUUGCGGCACCCCGUGGCAGCCUCAGUAGAGUACGCUACGCAGCACGCUGCUGCCAUCUCGGAGGCCACCUGGAGCAGGCACAGCUACGCGGAGUGCAAAGAUGAAAUGAUUCUUUUAUCUCUUCGAGAUCGCAUGCAUUUAUAUUUUUCAUUUAUUUAACUAAAGAUUAUCCAUUAUGUAUUAGUGAGAAUGCUCUCGUGAUCACGAAAUCAGCCAAAUAGUGUUGGUUGGCCAGCGGCUUUCAAUCAGCUUUCGAUGAUAUCGCGUACAUGAGAGCAAGCGUCUGUUCACUGCUUUUGACAUGUUUGUAAAUUCCCUGCUGUAUGCAGUGCAAUAAUAUUUGGCUCACAUUUUCACAGGAGCCUUGUUAACAAAUUGGCAGCCUUUUUUUACUAGUUUCAAAAAGUGCUUCAGUGCCCCUUUAACCUGCUCAGAUGAUGACUGGGUUAUUCUUGAAAUCAUUGGUAAAAUAACUUCUACGCUUCAUGGUUGAACUGUAUUUAGUUUUGCCAUCAUCCUUUUCCAAGUAACAACUGGCUCAUUGAACUUGCGCCUUUUGUAUAGAGUGGUGCAGCAGUCUUUACAGGUCUCUGCUGUACCACGUUGUUAGGUACUGCAACUCUCGGAUGUCGCAGUUCUCUCUUUUCUUGAUUUAGCAUUUUUACUUAUAAAGGCAACAUUUAUUUCUGAGAAGCCUGUCAUGAGACAGCAAAACAGAUUGAACCUCUUCCUGUGAGUUUUAUAUAUGAUUUGGAGCAAGUGAAUUCUAGAGUACUGAAUGAGCUUCAACUUAGUUGUUUUGGAGGGGAAGACUUUUAAGGUUGCUUUUAAUUAGUACUGUAUAGAAGUCUUGCAUAGCCUCACCACCUUACAGCAUAUGUUCACUAGACAAUGUAUUGUUAAGAAUGUUCCCCCAAGCUUGUUUUUCCACACUUGGAAUAUUUAAAGGGGCCUUGAACCACUUUUUAUUGAAGUCGAGAAAUGCAUGUGAAGUUAAAAUAGGCUUAUUUCAGAAAUACUUUGCCACAAUAAGUACUUCAAUGCAUUCAGCAGAAGCGGAAUUAUUUGCAAUGAAAUAUGAAUGAUUUUCAGAUAAGACCAAACACAAGGGUGGCUGGUGAAUAUUAUUAAGUUCUUUGGUAUUGUUUUGUCAUUGCCUGAUGUAUAGAGUACAUGGAUUCAAGUUUAGUUUUGCUUGGGAAAAAUAUGCAGCUUUUAAAUAAACAUUAGACCACAAGAAGGUGAAGAAUCGCAUCUGUGGAUUCUGCUGAUUUUGUUGUUUGACAAUUUAUUAUGGCAAGAUGUUUGAACUUUUAUUAGCAAGUCUCUGCAUGCAUCCCAGUUCAACAUAUCAUUAAAGGCAGGUGUUGACACACAUCAUUUUAUGCCAGGUAUCUCUGGUACACAGAAGUUUCAGGGGUAGCAUGUGCCUGUUGCGCCCCCUUUCUGGCUAUGCCCCUGGUCAUUGCCGACACUGCACCGGAUGGAAGGCCUUGAAAGCUGCAGGGGAGGGCAGGUCAUCCGUUCCUUGCUUCAUGCAGAGAAAUAAUAUUGGGCUUGCAUGUUCGCAACAGCAUAUUUGGCUUGCCUGUUCAGAUCAGGGGCAUUUUUUCAAAGAAGGACAUGGCUUCCAGGAAAAACAUGCAAUUUACUCUAGACACCUAAAAUUUUCAGCAAAAUAUUCGAUUUUUUGUACUGAUCGCAAAUAUGCAGUUAGCUUUUUUCUAAGUCAAUCCUAUAAAAAGUAAACAAAUUCUUGAGUUACAAAUUUGGGAAGUGAGUUGCAAAAAGUGGGCUGCAGCAAGAGAGUUAAAAUUAAGCAGGUACAUUUCUGAAUGUCUAAAAAGAGCAGCUGGACAUUUUAACACUGUGAUGUCCAAAGUAUCUUAUAUGCUACGCAGAGUUUAACACCUCAAAAUGGGGAUUUAAGUGCCGGAAACUUAAAGCAAAGCUAAUAGUUGCAUUAUGAACAUGCUGGAGGUGAAGUUUCAAUUUUUAAUAGUUUAACAAGCUAAUUACUAAAUUAACAUUUAGUACAGUAAUUAGGUCAUGGCUGAAAAAAACAUUCUUUGAUUUUCUUCUGCAAAUGUACUCUCCAUGGCCAGAAGUAAAUGUGCACAAUUAGUUCCAGUUUUUUAAAAUGUGGGACUGUGUUUGGGCAUUACAGGGUUAAUGUUUGUAUCUAUAUUUUAGACGAAGUUAUGAAAUUCUAAAGUUGCAGAUUGCAAGUGAAUUUUUUUCUUGAAGUUCAGGGUGUGAACUAUAAAGGGGAAAAAAUUUACAGGUACGGAAAAGAGCGUCUUUUGUCCUAACAGACAAAAGAGCAUCCUGACAGGCAAAGAGCAUUCUGACAGGCAGAGAAAAGAUGCUCAAUUUUUUUAGAAAAACACAAAAAUCUAAGAGUGGUAAAAUAUACAUUUAAAGCUAUAAAAUGAGGUAGCUUUCUUCUGAAGCAGCAUUGAAGGAUCAUUUUUGAUGGGAAAGCUAGCCAGAAAGAUGCUUUUUCAAACGGGACCCACAUGGCCUGGCUCUGAUAAGGGGUUUUAGAAUGGCAAAUGGUGCAAAAGGGGUCAUUUUCAGUGCUUUCAAGGCCAUAUAAAGUAUAAAGUUUUUUCCUCAAUGGCGUGUCAUUUCAAGCUAGUUAAUUGCCAGCAGGUGUGCUACGAUAUGUAGAUGAAAAAAUAACAAAUGAAAAGUAGAUCUUUUUGUUUUUGUUUCCAAGACCCAUGUCCCCCCUUAAUAGGCAUCAGAAGAUGGCAGCACCCUUUCUUUACAUUCGUAUUGUCAUAUGCUUGUAGCAGAUAUGAAAUGUUUAGGUAAUUUUUACUUUCAUGUAGAACAUGGAAAGCAAGGAACAUGGUACGAGAGUUUAAAAACUCUAGUUUGCAGACGUUGGAACGAACAUGCAAAGUUAGAAAAAAAGCCUUCUGUAGGUCAUGUCUGAAAAUAACCUUUCUUCAGUGUAGACACCCUACAGCCUUAGGAAUUAGUUCCCUAAUUGGGAUACGUGCAUAUAGUCUUAUUCUAAUAAGAGUUCCAAACAUCUCAUCAGAACAAUUGUUUUCAGACGUGUGAUGUGAACAAAACUAUCAGUAUGCGUAAAUGCAACACUGCCUUCUAAUGGCCUACAAGCUAUUAAAGAUAGUCAUUUUUUUAGCAUUAGUGAAUUAGCCAAUAAAAUAUAAAUAUCAAGCAAAUUAAAAAUGUAGACCUGCCAUUCUAUGUUAUCUAUAAUCACCCACAUACUUAGCCUGAUUUUUAUGUAAUCUUUUGAGCAAAGUAUAUUGCUGACACUGAUGUCUAUGGGGUAUUGACAGUAAGUGGUGUACAAGGUAAAUUGUCACCUACUUAUGCUCAAGGGCAUGUUCAUUAUCUUAUAUGUAACGUAGUUCUAGUUUCUGUUGCCAGUUUUUACCCAAGAACUGUGCAAUCACCAUAUGUGGUAUUCUCAGCUGAUUAUGAGGAGUGACAUUCAAUAACUCUAUUUUAUUUUUCAUUUUAGGCAAACUGGCUUUCUUGAGUGGCUCGAGCAAAAGGGUAACAUUUGAAAUGCUUUCUUUUUUUCCUCGCUGGAUGCAACUGGAGCGGAUGGAAGAUUAAAAAGAAUCACGGCUCUGUGUUAAAAAAAUGUUCUGCAUUCAUUGCUGUGACCUGCAGCAGAAAUAUUACAGCAACCAUACAUAUUUUCGUUCGUGGAUAUAUUGAAUAUAUUGAAAUGCCCCAUAAUUAUCUAAUUGUCCCAGUAGCCUGAUAUCAGGGUACUAGGACAGGUUCAUAUUUUAUUAAUGCAGUGCCAAGUAAUUGUCGAAGCACCUAGCCAGCUACUGGUUUUCAUGAAAACAAUGGUGUACUACAUUAAGACAAGUAACACAUUCUCUCAAUUUUGGCUAAUGACCAGCAGGAAUGGUGCAUCACAAACAUAGGGGCAGA